CGAACAAGCAGGCGAGGAGGAAGAAGAAGAAGGCGCGGGGCUCGUUCCUGGUCGAGGAAGAAGAAGGCGCGGGAUCGGGGGAGAGAUGGCGAGACGGCGCACAACCGUGCACAACAGGCUAGGGCUGCUCUGCUUCCGCGAAAAAGAGGGGCAAACUGGAAUAACUGGAAUAUUGGUGAGGCGAAAGCUGGGCCGCGGGGUCAAUCGGGGCCCGGCCUGCUUUAGCUGCUUGCGGCCGCGAAGCUGCGAACCAAACAGGAGCAUUUCGCGGUUUGGGGCCGCGAUGCUCCAAAAAUGCGGCCCCAAACAGGCUCUGAAUCAAACAGAGAUGGGAGCGUGCGGGUUUAAACCAAGCAACAGUAGAUGUCUAUGGCGGCGGUGACGACAAGAGAAGGCAGGGUCGACGUCGAUGCCAGAUACGUCCUUCGGUGCAUUAGAGUUAGAGGCAGGAGAUUGCGGGAGAUAGGAGCUUACGGGUUGGAACGAUAGAGCAUGAUGUGUCGAAAACGGCGUUGGUGGCGAUGUCCGAUGCUGCAGGAGGCGCCAUCCGGUUCAUGACAUUGAGAUAGGAGGGAUGCAUGCGGGAGACAAGAGCUUACAGGUUUAGCAGCGCACCGUUUUAAAUACCUAAAUCGAAUACGGGGCAAAUCGCCUUAUCCUUUCAAAGGCGAAGAUUUGUGCGCCUUCACAGUUUUGGGGCAUACACCUCACGCUAACCUAGCGAGGCACAUGCCUUGACUUGGAAAAUUCUUCAAUUGUGCAGAGGUCAGAGCAAUAUGUAGGGAUUUUGACAUCAUCUGUAUACGUAGAGAAGGGAAGAAUAUCGAACAUAUAAUAUCCAAUGACGAAAUAUUGCCAGAAAAUAAGGUGUGAAAGAGCAAUAUCAUAGAUGAGAUCAUACCGAAUCAAAUUAGUUUGACAAAAGUGAGGUAAUUUUUUUUUUUUCGGACGUUAUGCAGAGCCUAUAUUCAAUUCUGCUCCUCAUUAAGUUCAAACUUAAAAGAACUUGGGAACUCGUAGAAUUUAUUUUUACAGAGCAAUGUUCUGUU